rnacentral:rRNA from 1 species
CCUACGGGCGGCAGCAGUAGGGAAUAUUGCUCAAUGGGGGAAACCCUGAAGCAGCAACGCCGCGUGGAGGAUGAAGGUUUUCGGAUUGUAAACUCCUUUUGUUAGAGAAGAUAAUGACGGUAUCUAACGAAUAAGCACCGGCUAACUCCGUGCCAGCAGCCGCGGUAAUACGGAGGGUGCAAGCGUUACUCGGAAUCACUGGGCGGAAAGAGCGCGUAGGCGGGAUAGCAAGUCAGAUGUGAAAUCCUAUGGCUUAACCAUAGAACUGCAUUUUAAACUGUUAUUCUAGAGUAUGGGAGAGGUAGGUGGAAUUCUUGGUGGAGGGGUAAAAUCCGUAGAGAUCAAGAGGAAUACUCAUUGCGAAGGCGACCUGCUAGAACAUAACUGACGCUGAUGCGCGAAAGCGUGGGGAGCAAACAGGAUUAGAUACCCCGGUAGUC